ensembl:lncRNA
CCCCUGAGAGCAUUCUCCAGAGCGUUGUCUUUGUCCUGCCCAGCCUGUUGCUGCAGUCACAGUUGGUGGUUGUUGAGUUGUUUAGUAUCCUACUUUGGGGAGCUAGGGUACAAUUCUUUGUUGGUCAAGUUAGAGUCACGGAUGGCAGUGGCAGCCUUAAAUGGACAUCCUUUGGGCUCAGGAGGAGUCAAAUUCAUCACCAAGGAUCUGUCUCUUCAAACUGGUAUACUUCAUACUGAAACCAUUCAUCUAUUCGCCAUCGAAUCUCCUCAAAAUCCCUUCCCUGGCUAGAGAGACACAAUCCUCAGAUCUCAUGGACAACCAAACAAAUUCUUCAAUGGUCUGAUUCCUGCCAACAUAACUGUCUACUUACCACUCGAUCUCAUCCUUCUUCACGAACAGCCCAAUCUACAGCAAACUCACCUGUGCCGGGAUUACCCCCUGAUUAUAAUGACCUCACCAAAGCUUUCAGUAAGACCAAAGCCUCACAACUGCCUCCUCACCGACCCAGCGAUUGUGCCAUCGACAUGAUUCAAGGAGCAACCCCAUCUAGUAGUAGAAUUUUCUCUCUGUCACAUCCAGAAUCUGAAGCAAUGAAGACAUACUUUGAGGAGGAACUAUCUAAGGGGUUCAUUGGACCAUUCACCUCACCGGCCUCAGCAGGCUGCUUCUU